AUUCAGCUGUCGAGCCUCAAAUAGGACGAAAUGCGCAUCAAACUGAAU
rfam:Schistosoma rodhaini strain Burundi genome assembly, scaffold: SROB_scaffold0001657